rnacentral:lncRNA from 1 species
UUUAUUAAUAAAUAUGUUAUUUUCAAUAAGCUAUGUAUUAUUAUGUACUAUACUCAUAAAUUACCCCUACUACUUGUAAUAUGAUUUUUAUCAACAAUAAAACCAUUGAUAAAGAAAAUUAAAACUCGUUUGAUACUAUGCUCCAAGUCAAGUAAGUAUUUGAAUACGAAUCCAAAUUUUAACUAUUUAUUUUGUAUUCGUACCUUAUAAUAUUCAUACUUGCAUCCAAAUUCGAAUUAAAAUGUGGUAAAUAGUGCUAUCCGAAUUUGAUUCCAUGCAUAUUCGAUCUGAAUCCAUCCCUUCGUACUAGAUUACAAAUGUUUGUUAGUUUUCCC